GAUGAACGCUGGCGGCGUGCCUAAUACAUGCAAGCCGAGCGAACAGACGAGGAGCUUGCUCCUUUGACGUUAGCGGCGGACGGGUGAGUAACACGUAGGUAACCUACCUAUAAGACUGGGAUAACUUCGGGAAACCGGAGCUAAUACCGGAUAAUAUUUCGAACCGCAUGGUUCGAUAGUGAAAGAUGGCUUUGCUAUUACUUAUAGAUGGACCUGCGCCGUAUUAGCUAGUUGGUAAGGUAACGGCUUACCAAGGCAACGAUACGUAGCCGACCUGAGAGGGUGAUCGGCCACACUGGAACUGAGACACGGUCCAGACUCCUACGGGAGGCAGCAGUAGGGAAUCUUCCGCAAUGGGCGAAAGCCUGACGGAGCAACGCCGCGUGAGUGAUGAAGGUCUUCGGAUCGUAAAACUCUGUUAUUAGGGAAGAACAAACGUGUAAGUAACUGUGCACGUCUUGACGGUACCUAAUCAGAAAGCCACGGCUAACUACGUG
rnacentral:rRNA from 1 species